UACGUAGGGCGCAAGCGUUAUCCGGAAUUAUUGGGCGUAAAGAGCUCGUAGGCGGUUUGUCGCGUCUGCCGUGAAAGUCCGGGGCUCAACUCCGGAUCUGCGGUGGGUACGGGCAGACUAGAGUGAUGUAGGGGAGACUGGAAUUCCUGGUGUAGCGGUGAAAUGCGUAGAUAUCAGGAGGAACACCGGUGGCGAAGGCGGCUAUCUGGACAGAGUCUGACGCUGAGGCGCGAAAGCGUGGGGAGCAAACAGG
rnacentral:rRNA from 1 species